GAUGAACGCUAGCGACAGGCUUAACACAUGCAAGUCGAGGGGCAGCAUAAAAGUAGCAAUACUUUGGUGGCGACCGGCGCACGGGUGAGUAACGCGUAUGCAACCUACCUAUCAGAGGGGGAUAACCCGGCGAAAGUCGGACUAAUACCGCAUAAAACAGGGGCACCGCAUGGUGAUAUUUGUUAAAAAUUUAUUGCUGAUAGAUGGGCAUGCGUUCCAUUAGGUAGUUGGAGAGGUAACGGCUCACCAAGCCCACGAUGGAUAGGGGAACUGAGAGGUUGGUCCCCCACACUGGUACUGAGACACGGACCAGACUCCUACGGGAGGCAGCAGUGAGGAAUAUUGGUCAAUGGGCGAGAGCCUGAACCAGCCAAGUCGCGUGAAGGAAGAAGGAUCUAUGGUUCGUAAACUUCUUUUGCAGGGGAAUAAAGUGCAGGACGUGUCCUGUUUUGUAUGUACCCUGAGAAUAAGGAUCGGCUAACUCCGUGCCAGCAGCCGCGGUAA
rnacentral:rRNA from 1 species